UACGUAGGUGACAAGCGUUGUCCGGAUUUACUGGGCGUAAAGGGCGCGUAGGCGGCCCGCUAAGUCGAACGUGAAAUCCCCGAGCUCAACUCGGGAACUGCGUCCGAUACUGGCGGGCUUGAAUCCGGGAGAGGGAUGCGGAAUUCCAGGUGUAGCGGUGAAAUGCGUAGAUAUCUGGAGGAACACCGGUGGCGAAGGCGGCAUCCUGGACCGGCAUUGACGCUGAGGCGCGAAAGCUAGGGGAGCAAACGGG
rnacentral:rRNA from 1 species